GCCAGGCAUGGUGGUGUGCGCCUGUAAUCCCAGCCGCUCAGGAGGCUGAGGCAGGAGGAUCAAGAGUUCAAAGCCAGCCUCAGUCACUUAGCAAGGCCCUAAGCAACUCAGUGAGACCCUGUCUCUA
rnacentral:sRNA from 1 species